rnacentral:rRNA from 1 species
GGUGUUGUUGCUGCCAAUUGUCGCCGUGGUGAUGGUAAUUACAUGAGAUCUUCAGUCCUGGUCUGUUCUGGGAUCUCAGACCCUCCGACCCUGGAGGCGAUCGCGUGUCGGGAGGUACUCGCUUUAGCUGCAGAUCUUCAGCUGGGCAAAUGUGUUCUGUCGUCUGAUUGUCUGGAAGCAAUUAACUCGCUGAAGAAUAAUCUUCUGCCUGCAUAUGCGGCUGUCAUUCGCGAAAUAGAAAGUAGAAGUGAGGGUUUUACAGAUGUAUGCUUUGUCCAUGAAGGAAGAGCAUCCAAUACUCAUGCUCAUGAUUUAGCUCGUAGCUCUCUAGAUUUGUUACAAGGACGCUCUCUGUGGCUCCUAGAUCCUCCAUAUAUUUCUAUUAUACCCUUGAUUAUUCAGUAA